rnacentral:rRNA from 1 species
AACGAACGCUGGCGGCAGGCUUAACACAUGCAAGUCGAACGCACCUUUCGGGGUGAGUGGCAGACGGGUGAGUAACGCGUGGGAAUCUACCCUUCUCUACGGGAUAGCUCCGGGAAACUGGAAUUAAUACCGUAUACGUCCUGAGGGAGAAAGAUGUAUCGGGGCAGGAUGAGCCCGCGUUGGAUUAGCUAGUUGGUGGGGUAAAGGCCUACCAAGGCGACGAUCCAGAGCUGGUCGAAGAGGAUGAUCAGCCACAUUGGGACUGAGACACGGCCCAAACUCCUACGGGAGGCAGCAGUGGGGAAUAUUGGACAAUGGGCGCAAGUCUGAUCCAGCCACGCCGCGUGAGUGAUGAAGGCCCUAGGGUUGUAAAGCUCUUUCAGUGGGGACGAUAAUGACGGUACCCACAGAAGAAGCCCCGGCUAACUUCGUG